rnacentral:tRNA from 1 species
GGGCGUUUAGCUCAGUUGGUAGAGCAGCUGACUCUUAAUCAGCGGGCCGUAGGUUCGAGUCCUACAACGCCCACCA